GCCUGCCCUGUGAUAUAUAUUUAACGGCCGCGGUAUUUUGACCGUGCAAAGGUAGCGCAAUCACUUGUCCUUUAAAUGAAGACCUGUAUGAAUGGCAUGACGAGGGCUUAACUGUCUCCUUUUUCCAAUCAAUGAAAUUGAUCUUCCCGUGCAGAAGCGGGAAUACAACCAUAAGACGAGAAGACCCUAUGGAGCUUUAAACAAAAAUAGAUCUUGUUAAACAUAUCUUAAUUAAAGAAGUGAACCGAAAGAAUCCUAUCAUUNAUGUUUUUGGUUGGGGCGACCGCGGGGAAACAAACAACCCCCAUGUGGACUAAGAAAACAUUUCUCACAAUAAAGAGCCACAGCUCUAAUUAACAGAAUUUCUGACCUANUAGAUCCGGCAAUGCCGAUCAACGGACCGAGUUACCCUAGGGAUAACAGCGCAAUCCUCUUUAAGAGUUCAUAUCGACAAGAGGGUUUACGACCUCGAUGUUGGAUCAGGACACCCUAAUGGUGCAGCAGCUAUUAAGGG
rnacentral:rRNA from 1 species